rnacentral:rRNA from 1 species
AUGGUCGAAGGCUCGGAGAUGGACAUCGCCAACCUCAAGUUCCUCCUUCUAUGCUUCCAACAGAUGUCGGGUCUCAAGAUCAACUUUGAUAAGAGCGACGUCAUGGUAAUGGGAUACUCCCCCGCUGAGUCUCUGGCCAUCACCAAUCGGCUUAAUUGCCGCCUGGGCUCUUUCCCCACCUCCUACUUAGGGACCCCCAUUAGCGACUCACGCCUUUCUGCAGCGGACUUGAGGCCCGCUAUCUCUAAGCUCCAGUCCCGGUGUGAGCCCUGGCAGGGGAGAUGGCUCUCCAAGGCGGCCCGAACUAUUCUUAUCAACUCUUCUCUCUCUAGCCUGCUGAUGUUCCUUAUGAGCUUCUAUAGCCUCCAUGAGUCCCUACAUAAGGAGAUCGCUAAGAUCCAGUCUCGCUUCUACUUGGCUGGUGAGCAUGAUAAGCAGAAGUACCACAUGGUCAGCUGGCCUGACAUCUGCAAGCCCCGGGAGCAAGGUGGCCUGGGCAUCAUGUGCUCCAAGCGGAUGAACAUCACGCUCCUCUCCCGCUGGCUCUGGCGCAUCGCCCAGGGCCAUGGCGGCCUCUGGUUG